GGGCUGAUGCGUGGACAAGGGAGGAGAGACAGAAGCGACAGGAGCAAGAACAAGUCUGCAGCAGAUGCGACAGCCUUACCCCUUCUCCCAGCGGCUGGGGAGAGGAUGGUUUAAAUGACUCAGUCAAGGGCACAAGGAGUUUGAGGUUCUCACAUCUUGCCAGAGACAGAAAAGCAUGGGAUCAAUAUGCUGUUGGGCAAUAAAGAGCCUUGUUGGAAAAGAAUAUUGCAGUGGCCUGGUACCCUGAGCUGUUUGCACUGAGAUCCCAACGGAGGAGGUGAGCUGGCUGGGAGAAGAAAAUGAAGUUCUAUUUAUGCAGCAAGUCUGAUAGUGGAGCAAGGAAAGGAGUAUCGACAGGAAAAGACUGAAGGUACGAUUUCAACCCAUCAGCAGCAAGUAAGGAUUUCCACUGGAUAGGCUACAGGAAACAUUGCUGGCGGGUUUGGCAGGCGGGUGAGUUUCCUGGGGAAACAAGGCAAAGCAGCCGCCUUGCCUCUGUGCCAGCUCCACCCCCAGGAACUCCGGCACCAUCCGAAUUUGAGAGGAGAGAGAUUGUAAGGAUAUUUCCUUGGGUUUGGAAAAAAAAAAAAAAAACAAAAAAAAACAAAAAAAAAAACCCAAACCACCAACAGUUGGAUUAAGAAAGACCCAAGUUGAAGUCUUCAGGCUUGCUCCCUCACUCAAAGCCUGGCUGCCCACAAGCACCUCUAGCUGCUGCCUGGUUGGGUAUGAAGCGACCCACGCUCAGGGUGCGGGGUGGCGAAAGGCUUCUUUGAUCCGGUGUCUCUACAAGGAACUGCGGUGGAAAGAGUGGAGACAGCUGUCUCUGCUACCCCUUGCAACCCUCCAAGCUGUCAGUGGUCCUGGGAGAACGCUAACAGGAGAAGAAAGGCAGAUCCUGGUGGGUCUCCAAGGGGAGCGAGCUUGGGAGUGCAGGUAUCAUCCUUAGCAGCUUUUGGCUCAGUUUGAAAGGAGGCACUGAAGGUGCUGCAAAGGCUUAGAGCAAAGUGAAGACUCUGAAGCACUUCUCAAAACACCCCUGCGGACCUAUUAAUUGCAAUAUUGGAUCUUCUAUCUUUUCCAGCAGGUUCCUAGCAAUAGGCAUGCGGCCAGCUUGGCUGUGGUUUUGUUUAUUUUCCAGCUAAUGUAGCGGCAGGAUCAAUUCCAGCUAACAAAUCUGGGAAUGUCAGAAAAAUGAUGUCCAGUUCCCAUGGAUAAUUUGUGACAUGCACCUGGUAGACAGUUUUAGUGCCACAAUCAAUCCAGCGCUAUGGCAGGGGAAUAGGAACACCUCGCAGAAGUGAACACGAAUCAUGGAAAACAUCAUCAGAAAAGCAAUAAAAGCCCAUUUGCCCCAUAAAUUAUCACUGGCCACUGGCUAGAUGGGAAGAUGGCACUUGGAAAACACAGCAACACAUAUAAAACCGUGGCUGCUAACGUUCCCUGCAGUACCUCUUCCCUGAAGGACUGUAAGUGGCAUCUGAGUGGUGCUCAUCUGGCAUCGCGCUGCAAAUGAGUUCAGAAUGUGACUGUCCAAACUGAACCAUCAGCACUUGUUACCAACCCCAUUAAGUUUUAAAUGGCACUUGAGCCUUGCUCCUUGCUCAUCCGUGCUGGGCUUGGGUUAUUUAACACAUGGGCUCUGGCACACACGGUUCUGCUCGACCAUGAACUGCCAGAAACCUGAAUGCUUGUCCCUGCGGCCCCAGCCCUGUCUACCUGUGCUCUGGCAGCUAAGGGAGGUUUCUCCUGUGGGAGGAAGAACAAAAAAAAUCAGGGAAAAGGAAAGGGCAAGAGUGGGACAAGGACAAAUAGAAAUGGAUGAAAAUAUUCACGGUUUUCACUUUUUCCAUUAGCUUGAAUGGGAUCUCAUCAGGUGCCAUGUUUCUGUGGUCCCUGUGAGCACUGGGUUCUGCAGGUCAGUGCUUGCCACGCACAAACUCUUCCCUUUUAUCUUCUUGCCUCUCUCUCAUUUUCAAAUACAUGAAUGCAUCAGAGGCGCAUUUCAAACUCCUGACUACAAAUAGAUCUGAAGGGCCUUUGAGGUCUUGAAAGGAUCCUGCCUUACUCUAAAUAAAACAAACCACCUAACACACAAGUGCAUGGACACUGCACAUCCCCUCUGCUGUGUCUCCACGAUGGAUCUGGUGUGAGGUCCAAUCCUGGCUCCCAGAAGCUCCUGCCUUUGUCUUCCCAGCCCCAGCAUCAUCUGCCUGGUGCUGGCACCUGCCUGCAGUGAGGGGGUUCCUGGGGUGCAGGCCAGCACGUGCAGCAGGGCUCCCCCUUCCCAUCCUUCUCCACAGUGGGUUUGGCUCUGUCUCGGGCACUGGGUUGAU